rnacentral:misc_RNA from 1 species
UCCGGCUUAUCACCGGCGGUUUCCUUAGAGUGCCCAACUAAAUGAUGGCAACUAAGGACGAGGGUUGCGCUCGUUGCGGGACUUAACCCAACAUCUCACGACACGAGCUGACGAUAGCCAUGCAGCACCUGUCACCUAUCCAGCCGAACUGAAGGAAACCAUCUCUGGUAACCGCGAUAGGGAUGUCAAACGCUGGUAAGGUUCUGCGCGUUGCUUCGAAUUAAACCACAUGCUCCACCGCUUGUGCGGGCCCCCGUCAAUUCCUUUGAGUUUCAGCCUUGCGGCCGUACUCCCCAGGCGGGGCACUUAAUGCGUUAGCUGCGGCACCGGAGGGGUCGAUACCCCCGACACCUAGUGCCCAACGUUUACGGCGUGGACUAC